rnacentral:rRNA from 1 species
AUUGAACGCUGGCGGCGUGCCUAACACAUGCAAGUCGAGCGGCAGCGCGGGAGCAAUCCUGGCGGCGAGCGGCGGACGGGUGAGUAACGCUUGGGAAUCUGCCUGUUAGUGGGGGACAACCCGGGGAAACUCGGGCUAAUACCGCAUACGCACUACGGUGGAAAGCCGGGGACCGCAAGGCCUGGCGCUAACAGAUGAGCCCAAGUCGGAUUAGCUAGUUGGUAGGUAACGGCCUACCAAGGCGACGAUCCGUAACUGGUCUGAGAGGACGACCAGUCACACCGGAACUGAGACACGGUCCGGACUCCUACGGGAGGCAGCAGUGGGGAAUAUUGGACAAUGGGGGAAACCCUGAUCCAGCGACGCCGCGUGGGUGAAGGAGGCCUGCGGGUUGUAAAGCCCUUUCAGUGGGGAAGAAAGCCUCGACCUAACACGUCGGGGUCUUGACGUAACCCCAUAGAAAGAAGCACCGGCUAACUCUGUGCCAGCCGCCG